UACGUAGGGUGCAAGCGUUAAUCGGAAUUACUGGGCGUAAAGCGUGCGCAGGCGGUUGUGCAAGACAGAUGUGAAAUCCCCGGGCUCAACCUGGGAACUGCAUUUGUGACUGCACGGCUGGAGUGCGGCAGAGGGGGAUGGAAUUCCGCGUGUAGCAGUGAAAUGCGUAGAUAUGCGGAGGAACACCGAUGGCGAAGGCAAUCCCCUGGGCCUGCACUGACGCUCAUGCACGAAAGCGUGGGGAGCAAACAGGA
rnacentral:rRNA from 1 species